rnacentral:rRNA from 1 species
GACGAACGCUGGCGGCGUGCUUAACACAUGCAAGUCGAACGAAAAGAGGGAAAGAGCUUGCUCUUUCCGGAAUUGAGUGGCAAACGGGUGAGUAACACGUAAACAACCUGCCUUCAGGAUGGGGACAACAGACGGAAACGACUGCUAAUACCGAAUACGUUCCAAGGGCCGCAUGGCCCAUGGAAGAAAAGGUGGCCUCUACCUGUAAGCUAUCGCCUGACGAGGGGUUUGCGUCUGAUUAGCUGGUUGGAGGGGUAACGGCCCACCAAGGCGACGAUCAGUAGCCGGUCUGAGAGGAUGAACGGCCACACUGGAAUUGAGACACGGUCCAGACUCCUACGGGAGGCAGCAGUGGGGAAUCUUCCGCAAUAGGCGAAAGCCUGACGGAGCAACGCCGCGUGAGGGAUGACGGCCUUCGGGUUGUAAAACUCUGUGAUCCGGGACGAAAAGGCAGAGUGCGAAGAACAAACCGCAUUGACGGUACCGGAAAAGCAAGCCACGGCUAACUACGUG